CAUUAUAAUAAUAAAACUGUAAUAAUAACGCAAUAUGUGUGAUUAUAAUAAUAAAACUCACUAUGAUUAUAACUAGUGCCAUUUAUUAUUUUGUGCCAACCAACCCGUGUCACACGCUUCCUACGCCGUACCUGAAAAACACACGUAGGUAUCGUUACUUUCAUUACUUACCCCGUUUCAUGAAUGAGAAGCUGAGCUUCUGGCAGGCUGUGACGACUGUUGAUGCUAUCAAACUCCCACUAGCCAACUCUCUUCCCUUCAGAACCUCCAAAGCCCACUUACCACCUUACACCCCCCACCUCUGCUGAAACCCUGGCAAGCUUCAGAGUCCUACAAUGAUGUUUACGGCAUCUCCUGGUGCUCAAUAAUGGCAUGUGUUACAUUGUUACAUGGAAGACUACCUGCUGGGGAGAAGGACAAAGGCACCUCCCCUUUUCCUACUUAGACCCUCUCACACUGCCCACCUUCUCCAUCUAUGUUUCCUUUCUACCCUCUCGCUGCUCUUCUUCCUUCUGAGGUAUGAUCUGGUGCAAAGAGCACAGAACCAGAAAUAAGAACUGCCUCUAAUUAGCCGUGUGACUUCGGACAAGUCAGUUCACCUCUCACACCUUCAACUGCAAAGUGUAAGGAUAACAGCUGCCCAACCUGUUUUCAGGCAUGGUUGUUUAGAAUACAUAAGGAAGCAUACGCAGAAGUGAUCUAAAAGCUGUAAAUGAGUAUCAGCUGUGUGUAUUUGGUUCUCAAUAUUCUUUGGUCUUCUCACACACACACACACACACACACACACACACAUACGCACAAACGCACACAGUGCUUCUUUCUCACGGUAGAGAGGAUUGGCUGCAGUAAAUUUGCUGGCUUUUGCCCACUGCCAGCACCUCGCUGGGGCAGAAAAGAAAACAUGAAGAUGUGAAUAGGCAACAGCAAUGAAAUAAUGGUUGUUGUCCUUCUCCUUCUUUCUUUACUUUUCCAUGGGCUUCUUCUCCAUCCCAUCCAGACCAACAGCAACAGAAACCCACUUCAUCACCCACUUCAUCACCCACUUCACCUGCCCAACUCCCAGGACCCCCCUUGCUCCCUAUUUCACUGCCUACUUCUAAAUUUUCCACCUAUGUAGCCACAAUAAUCAUUCCUUAUUUACAAGAUAGUCACGGCAGCCUGUGUUGGACUGAGCGCUCACGACGUGUCAAACACAGUGCUAGACAUCCUGCACAGAUCGUCUCUCAUCGUCACGGCAACACACAGUAAGUGUCCUUGGCUCCAUUUGACACACUGGGCUCAGAGAGAUGAGCCAGCUCACCCAGUGAAGGACAAAGAUCCAGCUACUGCUGCUUCCAGACCAGAUACCAUUCCUACUCCCUAGCUAAAUCUAAACAUCACACUCUAGUCAAGUGUUCCUUAUGCAAAACAUUGGUUAGAAAUCACAGGGAAUUCUUACCUUUAAUAUCCUAUGAAUGUACAACCACAGUGGCAUAAAGCAUAAAGCAACCACAGUGGCAUAAAGCCUUUUUCCUUGAAAAAAGGCUAAGGACCCUGUACAGUAAGUAUGUUCACUUUACCUUUUAAUGUUUAAUAUAAUGAAAAAAAUGUUAUUUCUCCUAUUAAGAAGUGAUUGUGUUUAUUACAGUGAAGAAGCUGGCAGGCGCCACCUUAAACGUGUGACCAAAGUUAACAUCACCAGUAAAGGAAUAAACCGGCAUAAACCGGCAUCAUGUGGCUCUCAACGUGCUAUGCUGAGAAGAACACAGCAUCAUUCCAAGAGGAAUCACUCAGGAUGAAGACAAGAUCACCUACCCAUGGCCCCCGACUAAUGCUUCACAUUCUGGCCAAACGUGAAUGUGACAGGCCUCUACCUCUCUAGUGCCAAAGGACAGCGCUGGUGGGCUCUGUGAGGACAGCUACAACUGGCCCCUUUCUCUUUUAAAUAUGAGAAUUAUUCAUGUUUUAAAAAAAACACAUAUUUAAAGAUAUCUCUUAAUUUUUGUUACUAUUAGGGAGGAGAAGCCGAAACUGUUGUUUAUGAUAACAAAUUUCAAAUCAACACAGGUUGCCUCAAUGUCCAGAACUUGGUCAACAGGCCCAGUUUCCAUGUAAACACUGGUAAUAUCAAUGGAUUCUCUGUUUCUAU